rnacentral:rRNA from 1 species
CCGAGUCUUAAUUGGGCGUUAAGUUGCAGGGUAUAGACCCGAAACCCGGUGAUCUAGCCAUGGGCAGGUUGAAGGUUGGGUAACACUAACUGGAGGACCGAACCGACUAAUGUUGAAAAAUUAGCGGAUGACCUGUGGCUGGGGGUGAAAGGCCAAUCAAACCGGGAGAUAGCUGGUUCUCCCCGAAAGCUAUUUAGGUAGCGCCUCGUGAAUUCAUCUCCGGGGGUAGAGCACUGUUUCGGCUAGGGGGCCAUCCCGGCUUACCAACCCGAUGCAAACUGCGAAUACCGGAGAAUGUUAUCACGGGAGACACACGGCGGGUGCUAACGUCCGUCGUGAAGAGGGAAACAACCCAGACCGCCAGCUAAGGUCCCAAAGUCAUGGUUAAGUGGGAAACGAUGUGGGAAGGCCCAGACAGCCAGGAUGUUGGCUUAGAAGCAGCCAUCAUUUAAAGAAAGCGUAAUAGCUCACUGGUCGAGUCGGCCUGCGCGGAAGAUGUAACGGGGCUAAACCAUGCACCGAAGCUGCGGCAGCGACACUGUGUGUUGUUGGGUAGGGGAGCGUUCUGUAAGCCUGCGAAGGUGGCCUGUGAGGGUUGCUGGAGGUAUCAGAAGUGCGAAUGCUGACAUAAGUAACGAUAAAGCGGGUGAAAAGCCCGCUCGCCGGAAGACCAAGGGUUCCUGUCCAACGUUAAUCGGGGCAGGGUGAGUCGACCCCUAAGGCGAGGCCGAAAGGCGUAGUCGAUGGGAAACGGGUUAAUAUUCCCGUACUUGGUGUUACUGCGAAGGGGGGACGGAGAAGGCUAUGUUGGCCGGGCGACGGUUGUCCCGGUUUAAGCGUGUAGGCUGGUUUUCCAGGCAAAUCCGGAAAAUCAAGGCUGAGGCGUGAUGACGAGGCACUACGGUGCUGAAGCAACAAAUGCCCUGCUUCCAGGAAAAGCCUCUAAGCAUCAGGUAACAUCAAAUCGUACCCCAAACCGACACAGGUGGUCAGGUAGAGAAUACCAAGGCGCUUGAGAGAACUCGGGUGAAGGAACUAGGCAAAAUGGUGCCGUAACUUCGGGAGAAGGCACGCUGACACGUAGGUGAAGUGAUUUACUCAUGGAGCUGAAGUCAGUCGAAGAUACCAGCUGGCUGCAACUGUUUAUUAAAAACACAGCACUGUGCAAACACGAAAGUGGACGUAUACGGUGUGACGCCUGCCCGGUGCCGGAAGGUUAAUUGAUGGGGUCAGCGCAAGCGAAGCUCCUGAUCGAAGCCCCGGUAAACGGCGGCCGUAACUAUAACGGUCCUAAGGUAGCGAAAUUCCUUGUCGGGUAAGUUCCGACCUGCACGAAUGGCGUAAUGAUGGCCAGGCUGUCUCCACCCGAGACUCAGUGAAAUUGAACUCGCUGUGAAGAUGCAGUGUACCCGCGGCAAGACGGAAAGACCCCGUGAACCUUUACUAUAGCUUGACACUGAACAUUGAGCCUUGAUGUGUAGGAUAGGUGGGAGGCUUUGAAGUGUGGACGCCAGUCUGCAUGGAGCCGACCUUGAAAUACCACCCUUUAAUGUUUGAUGUUCUAACGUGGACCCGUUACCCGGGUUGCGGACAGUGUCUGGUGGGUAGUUUGACUGGGGCGGUCUCCUCCUAAAGAGUAACGGAGGAGCACGAAGGUUGGCUAAUCCUGGUCGGACAUCAGGAGGUUAGUGCAAUGGCAUAAGCCAGCUUGACUGCGAGCGUGACGGCGCGAGCAGGUGCGAAAGCAGGUCAUAGUGAUCCGGUGGUUCUGAAUGGAAGGGCCAUCGCUCAACGGAUAAAAGGUACUCCGGGGAUAACAGGCUGAUACCGCCCAAGAGUUCAUAUCGACGGCGGUGUUUGGCACCUCGAUGUCGGCUCAUCACAUCCUGGGGCUGAAGUAGGUCCCAAGGGUAUGGCUGUUCGCCAUUUAAAGUGGUACGCGAGCUGGGUUUAGAACGUCGUGAGACAGUUCGGUCCCUAUCUGCCGUGGGCGCUGGAGAACUGAGGGGGGCUGCUCCUAGUACGAGAGGACCGGAGUGGACGCAUCACUGGUGUUCGGGUUGUCAUGCCAAUGGCACUGCCCGGUAGCUAAAUGCGGAAGAGAUAAGUGCUGAAAGCAUCUAAGCACGAAACUUGCCCCGAG